GGGGGAUAAGCGGAAGAAAUUCCGUCUAAUACCGCGUAACAACGUUGGGAGGCAUCUCCCGAUGUUUAAAGAUUUUAUCGGCUGCGGAUGGCCAUGCGGCGCAUUAGCUAGUCGGCGGGGUAACGGCCCACCGAGGCGACGAUGCGUAGGGGUUCUGAGAGGAAGGUCCCCCACACUGGUACUGAGACACGGACCAGACUCCUACGGGAGGCAGCAGUGAGGAAUAUUGGUCAAUGGCCGAGAGGCUGAACCAGCCAAGUCGCGUGAGGGAUGACGGCCCUACGGGUUGUAAACCUCUUUUGUCGGGGAGCAAAGGGAGUCACGUGUGACUCAUUGAGAGUACCCGAAGAAAAAGCAUCGGCUAACUCCGUGCCAGCAGCCGCGGUAAUACGGAGGAUGCGAGCGUUAUCCGGAUUUAUUGGGUUUAAAGGGUGCGCAGGCGGAGGUGCAAGUCAGCGGUCAAAUUGCGGGGCUCAACCCCGUACUGCCGUUGAAACUGCAUCCCUUGAGUGCGCGAGAAGUAUGCGGAAUGCGUGGUGUAGCGGUGAAAUGCAUAGAUAUCACGCAGAACUCCGAUUGCGAAGGCAGCAUACCGGCGCGCAACUGACGCUCAUGCACGAAAGCGUGGGUAUCGAACAGGAUUAGAUACCCUGGUAGUCCACGCAGUAAAC
rnacentral:rRNA from 1 species